rnacentral:rRNA from 1 species
UACGAAGGGGGCUAGCGUUGCUCGGAAUCACUGGGCGUAAAGCGCACGUAGGCGGCUUCUUAAGUCAGGGGUGAAAUCCUGGAGCUCAACUCCAGAACUGCCUUUGAUACUGAGGAGCUUGAGUCCGGGAGAGGUGAGUGGAACUGCGAGUGUAGAGGUGAAAUUCGUAGAUAUUCGCAAGAACACCAGUGGCGAAGGCGACUCACUGGCCCGGUACUGACGCUGAGGUGCGAAAGCGUGGGGAGCAAACAGGG